rnacentral:rRNA from 1 species
UGGGGAAUAUUGGGCAAUGGGCGCAAGCCUGACCCAGCAACGCCGCGUGAAGGAAGAAGGCUUGCGGGUUGUAAACUUCUUUUCUUGGGGACGAACAAAUGACGGUACCCGAGGAAUAAGCCACGGCUACAGACGUGCCAGCAGCCGCGGUAAUACGUAGGUGGCAAGCGUUAUCCGGAUUUAUUGGGUGUAAAGGGCGUGUAGGCGGGAAAGCAAGUCAGAUGUGAAAACUAUGGGCUCAACCUAUAGCCUGCAUUUGAAACUGUUUUUCUUGAGUGCUGGAGAGGCAAUCGGAAUUCCGUGUGUAGCGGUGAAAUGCGUAGAUAUACGGAGGAACACCAGUGGCGAAGGCGGAUUGCUGGACAGUAACUGACGCUGAGGCGCGAAAGCGUGGGGAGCAAACAGG